rnacentral:rRNA from 1 species
UACGUAGGGUGCAAGCGUUAAUCGGAAUUACUGGGCGUAAAGCGGGCGCAGGCGGUGAUGUAAGACAGUUUGGAAAUCCCCGGGCUCAACCUGGGAACUGCAUCUGUGACUGCAUCGCUGGAGUACGGUAGAGGGGGGUGGAAUUCCGCGUGUAGCAGUGAAAUGCGUAGAGAUGCGGAGGAACACCGAUGGCGAAGGCAGCCCCCUGGGCUAACACUGACGCUCAGGCACGAAAGCGUGGGGAGCAAACAGG